AUUGAACGCUGGCGGCAGGCUUAACACAUGCAAGUCGAGCGAGCGGCGGACGGGUGAGUAAUGUCUGGGAAACUGCCUGAUGGAGGGGGAUAACUACUGGAAACGGUAGCUAAUACCGCAUACCAUCAGAUGUGCCCAGAUGGGAUUAGCUAGUAGGUGGGGUAAUGGCUCACCUAGGCGACGAUCCCUAGCUGGUCUGAGAGGAUGACCAGCGAGACUGGUACGGAGACACGGUCCAGACUCCUACGGGAGCAAGCAGUGGGGAAUAUUGCACAAUGGGCGCAAGCCUGAUGCAGCCAUGCCGCGUGUGUGAAGAAGGCCUUCGGGUUGUAAAGCACUUUCAGCGAGGAGGCGUUACCAACAGAAUAAGCACCGGCUAACUUCGUGCCAGCAGCCGCGGUAAUAC
rnacentral:rRNA from 1 species